CCUACGGGGGGCUGCAGUGGGGAAUAUUGGACAAUGGGCGAAAGCCUGAUCCAGCCAUGCCGCGUGUGUGAAGAAGGCCUUCGGGUUGUAAAGCACUUUCAGUGGGGAAGAAAGCCUUGGGGCUAAUACCCUCGAGGAAGGACAUCACCAACAGAAGAAGCACCGGCUAACUCCGUGCCAGCAGCCGCGGUAAUACGGAGGGUGCGAGCGUUAAUCGGAAUUACUGGGCGUAAAGCGCGCGUAGGCGGUCUGAUAAGCCGGUUGUGAAAGCCCCGGGCUCAACCUGGGAACGGCAUCCGGAACUGUCAGGCUAGAGUGCAGGAGAGGAAGGUAGAAUUCCCGGUGUAGCGGUGAAAUGCGUAGAGAUCGGGAGGAAUACCAGUGGCGAAGGCGGCCUUCUGGACUGACACUGACGCUGAGGUGCGAAAGCGUGGGUAGCAAACAGGAUUAGAUACCCUGGUAGU
rnacentral:rRNA from 1 species